rnacentral:rRNA from 1 species
CGAUGAGUAGGGCGGGACACGUGGUAUCCUGUCUGAAUAUGGGGGGACCAUCCUCCAAGGCUAAAUACUCCUGACUGACCGAUAGUGAACCAGUACCGUGAGGGAAAGGCGAAAAGAACCCCGGCGAGGGGAGUGAAAAAGAACCUGAAACCGUGUACGUACAAGCAGUGGGAGCCUCUUAAUGGGGUGACUGCGUACCUUUUGUAUAAUGGGUCAGCGACUUAUAUUCUGUAGCAAGGUUAACCGAAUAGGGGAGCCGAAGGGAAACCGAGUCUUAACUGGGCGCUAAGUUGCAGGGUAUAGACCCGAAACCCGGUGAUCUAGCCAUGGGCAGGUUGAAGGUUGGGUAACACUAACUGGAGGACCGAACCGACUAAUGUUGAAAAAUUAGCGGAUGACUUGUGGCUGGGGGUGAAAGGCCAAUCAAACCGGGAGAUAGCUGGUUCUCCCCGAAAGCUAUUUAGGUAGCGCCUCGUGAAUUCAUCUCCGGGGGUAGAGCACUGUUUCGGCAAGGGGGUCAUCCCGACUUACCAACCCGAUGCAAACUGCGAAUACCGGAGAAUGUUAUCACGGGAGACACACGGCGGGUGCUAACGUCCGUCGUGAAGAGGGAAACAACCCAGACCGCCAGCUAAGGUCCCAAAGUCAUGGUUAAGUGGGAAACGAUGUGGGAAGGCCCAGACAGCCAGGAUGUUGGCUUAGAAGCAGCCAUCAUUUAAAGAAAGCGUAAUAGCUCACUGGUCGAGUCGGCCUGCGCGGAAGAUGUAACGGGGCUAAACCAUGCACCGAAGCUGCGGCAGCGACACUAUGUGUUGUUGGGUAGGGGAGCGUUCUGUAAGCCUGUGAAGGUGGCCUGUGAGGGUUGCUGGAGGUAUCAGAAGUGCGAAUGCUGACAUAAGUAACGAUAAAGCGGGUGAAAAGCCCGCUCGCCGGAAGACCAAGGGUUCCUGUCCAACGUUAAUCGGGGCAGGGUGAGUCGACCCCUAAGGCGAGGCCGAAAGGCGUAGUCGAUGGGAAACAGGUUAAUAUUCCUGUACUUGGUGUUACUGCGAAGGGGGGACGGAGAAGGCUAUGUUGGCCGGGCGACGGUUGUCCCGGUUUAAGCGUGUAGGCUGGUUUUCCAGGCAAAUCCGGAAAACCAAGGCUGAGGCGUGAUGACGAGGCACUACGGUGCUGAAGCGACAAAUGCCCUGCUUCCAGGAAAAGCCUCUAAGCAUCAGGUAACAUCAAAUCGUACCCCAAACCGACACAGGUGGUCAGGUAGAGAAUACCAAGGCGCUUGAGAGAACUCGGGUGAAGGAACUAGGCAAAAUGGUGCCGUAACUUCGGGAGAAGGCACGCUGAUAUGUAGGUGAAGCGACUUGCUCGUGGAGCUGAAAUCAGUCGAAGAUACCAGCUGGCUGCAACUGUUUAUUAAAAACACAGCACUGUGCAAACACGAAAGUGGACGUAUACGGUGUGACGCCUGCCCGGUGCCGGAAGGUUAAUUGAUGGGGUUAGCGGCAACGCGAAGCUCUUGAUCGAAGCCCCGGUAAACGGCGGCCGUAACUAUAACGGUCCUAAGGUAGCGAAAUUCCUUGUCGGGUAAGUUCCGACCUGCACGAAUGGCGUAAUGAUGGCCAGGCUGUCUCCACCCGAGACUCAGUGAAAUUGAACUCGCUGUGAAGAUGCAGUGUACCCGCGGCAAGACGGAAAGACCCCGUGAACCUUUACUAUAGCUUGACACUGAACAUUGAGCCUUGAUGUGUAGGAUAGGUGGGAGGCUUUGAAGUGUGGACGCCAGUCUGCAUGGAGCCGACCUUGAAAUACCACCCUUUAAUGUUUGAUGUUCUAACGUUGGCCCGUAAUCCGGGUUGCGGACAGUGUCUGGUGGGUAGUUUGACUGGGGCGGUCUCCUCCUAAAGAGUAACGGAGGAGCACGAAGGUUGGCUAAUCCUGGUCGGACAUCAGGAGGUUAGUGCAAUGGCAUAAGCCAGCUUGACUGCGAGCGUGACGGCGCGAGCAGGUGCGAAAGCAGGUCAUAGUGAUCCGGUGGUUCUGAAUGGAAGGGCCAUCGCUCAACGGAUAAAAGGUACUCCGGGGAUAACAGGCUGAUACCGCCCAAGAGUUCAUAUCGACGGCGGUGUUUGGCACCUCGAUGUCGGCUCAUCACAUCCUGGGGCUGAAGUAGGUCCCAAGGGUAUGGCUGUUCGCCAUUUAAAGUGGUACGCGAGCUGGGUUUAGAACGUCGUGAGACAGUUCGGUCCCUAUCUGCCGUGGGCGCUGGAGAACUGAGGGGGGCUGCUCCUAGUACGAGAGGACCGGAGUGGACGCAUCACUGGUGUUCGGGUUGUCAUGCCAAUGGCACUGCCCGGUAGCUAAAUGCGGAAGAGAUAAGUGCUGAAAG